rnacentral:rRNA from 1 species
AGCAGCCGCGGUAAUUCCAGCUCCAAUAGCGUAUAUUAAAGUUGUUGCAGUUAAAAAGCUCGUAGUUGAAUUUCGGAGUUCUACCGUUGGUCAGGCUUUGUCUGUACUGACGUGUAGAAUUUCUACCUUCUGGGGAACCAUCAUGUUAUUAAUUUAGUGUGAUGGGAAACCAGGACCUUUACCUUGAAAAAAUUAGAGUGUUCAAAGCAGGCUUAUGUCUGAAUACAUUAGCAUGGAAUAAUAGAAUAGGACGGUGGUCCUGUUUUGUUGGUUUCUGAAUCACCGUAAUGAUUAAUAGGGAUAGUUGGGGGCAUUAGUAUUCAAUUGUCAGAGGUGAAAUUCUUGGAUUUAUUGAAGACUAACUUCUGCGAAAGCAUUUGCCAAGGAUGUUUUCAUUAAUCAAGAACGAAAGUUAGGGGAUCGAAGACGAUCAGAUACCGUCGUAGUCUUAACCAUAAACUAUGCCGACUAGGGAUCGGACGAUGUUAACUUUUCUUGACUCGUUCGGCGCCUUACGGGA